rnacentral:rRNA from 1 species
AGCGAACGCUAGCGGCGGGCCUCAAACAUGCAAGUCGUACGCGAAAGGUAGCAAUACCGAGUAGAGUGGCGCACGGGUGAGUAACACGUAACUAACUUCCCCUCUCGCUGGGGAUAACUCCGGGAAACCGGAGCUAAUACCGAAUGAUCUCAUUGGGACUGCGGUCUUGGUGGGUAAAGUCGUAAGACGCGAGAGGAUAGGGUUGCGGCCUAUUAACUAGUUGGUGGGGUAAUGGCCUACCAAGGUUACGAUAGGUAGCUGGUCUGAGAGGACGAUCAGCCACACUGGGACUGACACACGGCCCAGACUCCCACGGGAGGCAGCAGUGGGGAAUAUUGGGCAAUGGAGGAAACUCUGACCCAGCGACGCCGCGUGCGGGAUGAAGGCCUUCGGGUUGUAAACCGCUUUCAGCAGGGAAGAAGCGAAAGUGACGGUACCUGCAGAAGAAGCACCGGCUAACUAUGUGCCAGCCGCCGCAGUAA